rnacentral:rRNA from 1 species
UAGGGAAUCUUCCGCAAUGGACGCAAGUCUGACGGAGCAACGCCGCGUGAGUGAAGAAGGAUUUCGGUUCGUAAAACUCUGUUGUUAGAGAAGAACAGCGCAUAGAGUAACUGUUAUGCGUGUGACGGUAUCUAACCAGAAAGCCACGGCUAACUACGUGCCAGCAGCCGCGGUAAUACGUAGGUCCCGAGCGUUGUCCGGAUUUAUUGGGCGUAAAGCGAGCGCAGGCGGUCAAUUAAGUCUGAUGUGAAAGCCCCCGGCUCAACCGGGGAGGGUCAUUGGAAACUGGUUGACUUGAGUGCAGAAGAGGAGAGUGGAAUUCCAUGUGUAGCGGUGAAAUGCGUAGAUAUAUGGAGGAACACCAGUGGCGAAGGCGACUCUCUGGUCUGUAACUGACGCUGAGGCUCGAAAGCGUGGGUAGCAAACAGG